rnacentral:rRNA from 1 species
UCAUCUUCGGGGGUAGAGCACUGUUUCGACUAGGGGGUCAUCCCGACUUACCAACUCGAUGCAAACUGCGAAUACCGAAGAAUGUUAUCACGGGAGACACACGGCGGGUGCUAACGUCCGUCGUGAAGAGGGAAACAACCCAGACCGCCAGCUAAGGUCCCAAAGUCAUGGUUAAGUGGGAAACGAAGUGGGAAGGCUCAGACAGCCAGGAUGUUGGCUUAGAAGCAGCCAUCAUUUAAAGAAAGCGUAAUAGCUCACUGGUCGAGUCGGCCCGCGCGGAAGAUGUAACGGGGCUAAACCAUGCACCGAAGCUGCGGCAGCGAACGUAUCACUUAAAUUUGUUUGAGUGAAUAACGAUUGACGGAACGAAGUGACGUCAAUGCGUUAAUGAAAGUCGAGGCGAAAGCACGACAAAGCGAAUUUAAGGAUACGUUCGUUGGGUAGGGGAGCGUUCUGUAAGCCUGCGAAGGUGUACUGUGAGGUAUGCUGGAGGUAUCAGAAGUGCGAAUGCUGACAUAAGUAACGAUAAUGCGGGUGAAAAACCCGCACGCCGGAAGACCAAGGGUUCCUGUCCAACGUUAAUCGGGGCAGGGUGAGUCGACCCCUAAGGCGAGGCUGAAAAGCGUAGUCGAUGGGAAACGGGUUAAUAUUCCCGUACUGGUGGUAACUGCGAUGGGGGAACGGAGAAGGCUAGGUUGUCCGGGCGACGGUCGUCCCGGUUCAAGCAGGUAGGCAGAGUGAUUAGGCAAAUCCGGUCACUUAAUGCUGAGAUGUGAUGACGA